rnacentral:rRNA from 1 species
AGAGUUUGAUCAUGGCUCAGAAUCAACGCUGGCGGCGCGCUUAACACAUGCAAGUCGCACGAGAAAGUGGAGCAAUCCAUGAGUACAGUGGCGUACGGGUGAGUAACACGUGGAUCAUCUACCUCUUGGUGGGGAAUAACCCUGGGAAACCGGGGCUAAUACCGCAUAAGCCUGCAAAGGGAAAGCAGCAAUGCGCCGGGAGAGGAGUCCGCGGCCGAUUAGCUAGUUGGCGGGGUAAAGGCCCACCAAGGCGAAGAUCGGUAGCCGGCCUGAGAGGGCACACGGCCACACUGGCACUGAAAUACGGGCCAGACUCCUACGGGAGGCAGCAGUGGGGAAUCUUGCACAAUGGAGGAAACUCUGAUGCAGCGACGCCGCGUGAGCGAUGAAGCCCUUCGGGGUGUAAAGCUCUUUCGACGGGAAAGAUUAUGACGGUACCCGAAGAAGAAGCUGCGGCUAACUACGUGCCAGCAGCCGCGGUAAUACGUAGGCAGCAAGCGUUGUUCGGAAUUACUGGGCGUAAAGAGUGUGUAGGCGGUGCUCUAAGUCUGUUGUGAAAUCUCCCGGCUUAACUGGGAGGGUGCGGCGGAAACUGGAGUGCUCGAGUGUGGGAGAGGUAAGCGGAAUUCCUGGUGUAGCGGUGAAAUGCGUAGAUAUCAGGAGGAACACCUGUGGUGUAGACAGCUUACUGGACCACGACUGACGCUGAGACACGAAAGCGUGGGUAGCAAACAGGAUUAGAUACCCUAGUAGUCC